rnacentral:rRNA from 1 species
GCUGUGUUUGAAAUGAGUGUAAUUUAAAAACAUUAUCAAGGAACCAUUGGAGGGCAAGUCUGGUGCCAGCAGCCGCGGUAAUUCCAGCUCCAAUAGUGUAUACUAAUGUUGCUGCAGUUAAAAAGCUCGUAGUUGGAUUUCGGUUAAUAAGGGGUUAGUCUACUUUUUUAUAAGUACGCACUGUCAACUUAUUUCCUUCUUUUCAGUAACAAAUUUUAUUUGUUCUGAAUCUUUUACUUUGAAAAAAUUAGAGUGUUCAAAGCAGGCGUAUUUUGCCUUUGAAUAUAUUAGCAUGGGAUAAUGAAAUAAGACUUUUUGCCUUAUUCUCGUUGGUUCUUGAGGCUUAAGUAAUGAUUAAUAGGGAUAGUUGGGGUCAUUAGUAUUUAAUUGUCAGAGGUGAAAUUCUAAGAUUAAUUAAAGACUAGCUACUGCGAAAGCAUUUGACAAGGAUGUUUUCAUUAAUCAAGAAUGAAAGUUGGGGGAUCGAAGAUGAUCAGAUACCGUCGUAGUCUCAACCAUAAACUAUGCCGACCAAGGAUUCGGGGGUGUUAUAUGAUGACCCUCCGGGCACUUAUAGAGAAAUCAUAAGUAUUUGGGUUCCGGGGGGAGUAUGGUCGCAAGGCUGAAACUUAAAGGAAUUGACGGAAGGGCACCACAAGGAGUGGAACUUGCGGUUUAAUUUGACACAACACGGGAAAACUUACCAGGUCCAGACACAGUAAGGAUUGACAGACUGAGAGCUCUUUCUUGAUUUUGUGGUUGGUGGUGCAUGGCCGUUUCUAGUUGGUGGAGUGAUUUGUCUGGUUAAUUCCGUUAACGAACGAGACCUUAACCUAUUAAAUAGUUACAUGAACCUGGAUUUAUCCAUUUGUUCAUGGAUAACUUCUUAGAGGGACUCUUCACGUAAAGAGUGAAUGGAAGUUUGAGGCAAAAACAGGUCUGUGAUGCCCUUAGAUGUUCUGGGCUACACGCGUGUUACACUGGUAUCUUCAACAAGCAUAAAUUUUCCUUACCCGAUGGGGUUGGGCAAUCUUUUAAAAUGAUAUCGUGAUGGGGAUAGAUCAUUGUAAUUAUUGGUCUUGAACGAGGAAUUCCUAGUAAGGGUAUGUCAUCAACAUGCCCUGAUUACGUCCCUGCCCUUUGUACACACCGCCCGUCGCUCCUACCGAUGAAUGGUCCGGUGAGGAUUUAGGAGGACCGCAGAUCUUGGUGUAAAAGCCAUUCUGUUGUUUUGUCCGAAUUCAUUCAAACCUUAUCAUUUAAAGGAAGGAGAAGUCGUAACAAGGU